UGCCCGGCCCAGCCAGCCAGACCUGAGAGCGGAGCGCAGCGUGCAGGGCUAGGCUCCGGCGGGGCCCGGGGAGCUGUCCGGCUGCUUUCAGCAGGGACGGGCAGUGGAGGGCACCGGGGUGGCACGCUUCCGAACAGGAGAACCGGCGCCCCGCCACUGCCGCAGGAUCGCUCUUGCCCGCGGGCGCCACACCCGCGGGCCUCCUGCUGCCCAGGAGAAGGAACCCACAGAGGCUGCAGUGAGGACGAGACUGCUCAAGCCAGGCCAGGGCCCGGGGCUCUGCGGAGGAAAAUGCUGGAGCCGAGCCAAGACGCCGGCCCCUUCCCGAGCCGCCGUCUAAUCAUGAGAAAAACACCAGGCAAGUUCCAUCAGAGGGAUCUUCUGCAAAAUACCUGACCAGUACUCAAAACUGUCAAGAUCAUCGAAAACAAGGAAAAGACUAAGAAACUGUCACAGCCACGAGACACUUGAGGAGACACGACAAAUAAAUGUAAUAUUGUAUCCUGGAAGGGAUCCUGGAAAAGGAAAAGGACAUUAGGGAAAAACUGAGGAAAUCUGAGUAAAGUAUGGACUUUAGGUAGUAAUAAUGUCUUAAUAUUGGUUUAGUAGUUGUGACAAAUGUACCGUACAUUUCUAAUGUAAGUAAGAUGUUAAUAACAGAAAACUGAGUGUGUGAUAUAUGGGCACUAUGUACUAUCUUUGCAGUCUUUCUGUAAAUUUAAAAUUGUUCUAAAAAAUAAAAUUUGUUUUAAAAAAUUAAAAUGAA